UACGUAGGGUGCAAGCGUUGUCCGGAAUUACUGGGCGUAAAGGGCGCGUAGGCGGCCACCGCAAGUCGGUUGGGAAAUCUCUGGGCUUAACCCAGAAAGGUCAACCGAUACUGCGGGGCUAGAGUGCAGAAGGGGCAACUGGAAUUCUCGGUGUAGCGGUGAAAUGCGUAGAUAUCGAGAGGAACACCGGUGGCGAAGGCGGGUCUCUGGGCAGUAACUGACGCUGAGGAGCGAAAGCGUGGGGAGCGAACAGG
rnacentral:rRNA from 1 species